rnacentral:rRNA from 1 species
GUGGGGAAUAUUGCACAAUGGGCGCAAGCCUGAUGCAGCAACGCCGCGUGAGGGACGACGGCCUUCGGGUUGUAAACCUCUUUUAGCAGGGAAGAAGCGAAAGUGACGGUACCUGCAGAAAAAGCACCGGCUAACUACGUGCCAGCAGCCGCGGUAAUACGUAGGGUGCAAGCGUUGUCCGGAAUUAUUGGGCGUAAAGAGCUCGUAGGCGGUUUGUCGCGUCUGCUGUGAAAACCCGAGGCUCAACCUCGGGCCUGCAGUGGGUACGGGCAGACUAGAGUGCGGUAGGGGAGAUUGGAAUUCCUGGUGUAGCGGUGGAAUGCGCAGAUAUCAGGAGGAACACCGAUGGCGAAGGCAGAUCUCUGGGCCGUAACUGACGCUGAGGAGCGAAAGCGUGGGGAGCGAACAGGAUUAGAUACCCCGGUAGUCC